rnacentral:lncRNA from 1 species
CUGCCUUUCCACGUUGCACAAGCCCAGCGCACGGUACCCACUGGAUAUGCCCGAGGCCUCCAGAGGAAAGGAAAGGAGGAAAAGGGACAGAAGAAAUGUUCACAGGAACUGCAUAUGGGCCUGCUACUUGUGUCAAAAUGUGACUGAACUCUCUUCCAGCAGGACCAAAUAUCUAUGGAUACAAAAAGUUCAGCAUGACAAGAUCUACUGUUCUCCCACAUAAUUUUUCAUGGAUUCAUAGUCCUAAAAGGACCAAGUUCCAUGCAGAUCUGCAGAACAAGAGG